UACGGGGGGGGCAAGCGUUGUUCGGAAUUACUGGGCGUAAAGGGCUCGUAGGUGGCCAACUAAGUCAGACGUGAAAUCCCUCGGCUUAACCGGGGAACUGCAUCUGAUACUGGAUGGCUUGAGUUUGGGAGAGGGAUGCGGAAUUCCAGGUGUAGCGGUGAAAUGCGCAGAUAUCAGGAGGAACACCGGUGGCGAAGGCGGGUCUCUGGGCCGAUACUGACGCUGAGGAGCGAAAGCGUGGGGAGCGAACAGG
rnacentral:rRNA from 1 species